rnacentral:rRNA from 1 species
CAGCAGCCACGGGAAUACGUAGGUGGCAAGCGUUGUCCGGAAUUAUUGGGCGUAAAGGGAGCGCAGGCGGACAUAUAAGUCCAUCUUAAAAGUGCGGGGCUCAACCCCGUGAGGGGAUGGAAACUGUAUGCCUUGAGUGCAGGAGAGGAAAGCGGAAUUCCCAGUGUAGCGGUGAAAUGCGUAGAUAUUGGGAGGAACACCAGUGGCGAAGGCGGCUUUCUGGACUGCAACUGACGCUGAGGCUCGAAAGCCAGGGGAGCGAACGGGAUUAGAUACCCCAGUAGUCCCUGUCUCUUAUACA